GUAAAGAUUGUGAAAUUGUUGGAGUUAUUGUGAUGCAUUCACAGCUUGGUAUAGAUUUGUAUCUUAAAACGUCACUAGAAACUUGAAUUAUUGGAAGAAUAUUAUAUACGGCAUUGACUUAAUAUUUAAAUUGACAGAUUUGACUUUUCUGUGGUCAAGCUUUAAUUUGGAUUUUUUUUACGUUGUGUUAAAGUAAUGGUUGUAAGAUGAUCAUUUGUUGGGGUUUUAGCUAAAACAAGACAUAGAACUAAGUUAGAAGAAAGCUGAGUUGAGACUUGAGAUAGUGUUUAGGGACCUAAUUUUGUCAAUUCUGGGUUAAAUUGGGGAAUGGUGAUUAAAUUGAAUUAGAUAAUGUUGGUGUUUGGAUUAGAUUUUUAGCUUCUUGCUUAUAGCUUAUUUGUGGUGGGAAUAAGCAAUAAGCAAUAAGCAUGGGGAGGAAUGCUUAUUAAAAUUAGCUUAUUUAGCCUAAUAAGCUGGAUUUUAUCCAAACGCUUAAAUUAGCUUAUUGUGGGAAUAAGCAAUAAGCAGUUUUUUUUUUUUUUCCUAUCCAAACACCCCUAAUAAAAAUGAAAAUAUUAUAUCAAUUACCUAUAUACGAGAUCCUUCUUUAGACAGUAAGACUAUGCACGUCACCUGCUUGCCUGCUGCUUUCCUCAUCCAAUAAGAAGUCUGGCGGUCAUUCUUUAACUUAUGUGGAGUCGGUUUGCUUUCCUUCUCCACACCGCCUCAAUUAGUUGUGUCAAGCCGAGUCACUGUCUAUUUUCUCAUGUUUUUCCGUUUUCCCGCCACCUCCUACUUGGUUUUGCGCACCGACCACUGGGUUCAAUAAACGGCGUCGUUUGGCUAUUGAUGAAGGUCACCUAGACGUCACGAUGAGGUAGAAGACUUAGCGGUGGGUUUUCCUUCUUGGCGGCCACGUUCCCCCCAAAGCUGCAUACCUUUUGGAUCCCUUUUUACCGCCACCUCCCAUUGAUUGCUGCUGAGUCACCCUUUUGACUUCCUCUUCAUGCCGCUCCAUGUUUAUUCUGUAUUUAAGGGUUUUGUUGCUUCACGAUUGAUGUUGAAGAGGACGAAAGGGAAGGGCCUGAUGAAGAGACGAUUUAGCCUAAAGACCGUUACUAAUGACAAAUCGAUGACAUGGAACCUUAAAUUAAGGGAAAGAAGAGAUGGUUUGGGGUUCAAAUUUGGGAAUUUGAUUGUCAAUUUUUGUGGGAAACUUUGCUGUCAGUUUGUACUGAUUGAACAAAGUAUGUUCUUAUCUAACACUAAAUUUAUUAAUCAGAUUUCUAAUAUAUCUACAUGCCCUUCCAGAUCAUCUUUCUUGAUGUUUUUUUAUAAUCGUCAUACCCAGGGUAUUUGUAGUCUUGUCAUGGUUCUACUUAAUUAGGAUUUAGAGUAUACGUGUAAGACGCAUUUGUGAAUCAAGGUAAUGGUUUCAAUUUCGGUAUGUCCUUUAAAACCGGAGUUGUUCUUGAUCAAAAAAUAAGAUAUCUCAAUUACCCUUUAACAACAGUGUCAUCCAAAAAUAUACAGCAAUAGUAGAAUAUCAUUCCAUCUUAAUGUUUAAUGACUAUUGAGUAUUGAUUGCAUGUCUAUCAUCCGAAUAUAAACGUCAAUGAUGUGCUAGAAAUUGAAAAUUUAUAAUGACUAACAAUUCUUGGAGGCUCUUGAAACCUUUUUAAUUGUGUGGUUUGAAAGUUUCCAUUGUGAUUACUUUGUUAUCUCAAGUUUAGUGUGCUAGAAUAUGGAGAUUUGGCAGGAGACAUGUUUCUGAACCUUUGGAUACCACUCGAUAAAUUUGUCGAGGAUGAAAAUGUACUUGCAGGGAUUAUUUCAUUAAAUCCUUUUGCGGAAUUGAGAAACCUAGAUUGCAAGUCAACCUCAGACCCUGUGGACUCAUCAAACACUUUCACCACUCCAUUCCGAAACAAAAUACUUCUAUGGAGGUGAAAACAUUGCAAAUAGGCAUCUGGCGAAUGUCAAAGAUUUGGUCAUAGCUUCAAGAAUGCGAAAUCCAUUUUAAUUGGAAA